ACAGGAAGUGAGCAUGCAGCCAGAGAGCCUUGCUCAAGCCUUCCCCCCCAGCUUCUGGCCUGCAUAAAUGCAGGCAUGUGGUUGCAUUUCCUGAAUUAAAGAGUGGAACAAAGCACCGGGUUUCGUGCAACUCCACAGCUCUGCAAGAAGCCCUGCAGGCAGCCUGGUAGCAGCCUGGGACAGCAGGCUCCACCCAAGAAAAGUGACUGAAGGAUGGUUUUGGAUGUUCUCUGUGGGCAGUUUACAGCUGGCACAUUUCUGUUGGACAGAGCUAGGACAAGCAAGGAUGAGACUCCUGAUUGGGCACGUCUACACGAAACGCUUGGAACACAGUAGACUAAUUCUACUGCACAUUAGCACGGUGCAGUUUUACUGAAAGAUUCACAUAUUUUUGCGAGAGUACAGGAAGAAUUAUCUGCCAUGUGCUUAACUAAGGCUCUGCAAAAAGACACAAGUCUGUUUUACUCUACUGUGUAGCUUCGGACUGAGGCCUGUGUGCUCCUAAACUUGACUGUGCAUCUUAGACAAACUGAAUGAGUGAAGCACAGCACUAUCUGCUACAGAAUUAGCAGUCUCUGCUGAAAGGGGACCUUCUCUGGAGACCACUAUACAAGGUACAGUUGAAUGAUUGCAGAGGGAAACAACAUUUCUGCGACUCACCUGCAUUUAUCUUAAGGACAGCUCUACCAAAUAAUGAGGUGCGACAAUUUACCUAGACUUGGGAUCAUGGACCUGCUGAUAUAUUAUUGCUGUAAGCAAUAGGCUCAGAAUAAAGCAAAGUAAACAACUAUAUUAUGAUGCAAUGCACACUCAAGAGCAUUGCAAUUGUGAACAUAAUUGUAACAGCAGAUUCAUAUUGUCCAGCUAAAUGGAAAAUCUGUAAUUCAAGCCAUGAAGACAGCAGCUUGGUUUGUGACUUUCAGUAUCAUAAAUCUAAGGUUGGAAUCUUGCCCUGAACAUGCUACAUUGCAAGGUUCCUCUAUGGGUUUUUUUAAUUAAUCUAUAAUAAAAAUAGACUCAGAUGUCAAUUCACUGCUAAUAGGACUCACUGGAUACCAUCGCAGAACUGUUCCUAAUCAAUUAAUGUUUUUAACUUAGUUAAUCCAGUACAAAUAUACGUUAAUACCAUUAACAAACCCCCAUUCAUCACUAUGAUAGUGCCAUCAUAAUACCAGUUUCUGCUGCACUUAGAAUUACAUAGGGCAGGGAGGACAAAAAUUGGAGCCUGAAUAGAAAUAUCAUCUUGUUAUUGAAACAACAUCUUGAUAUUUUUACAAGCACAGUGCUAUCAGAGGAUAGAUGAAUGUUCCAGGAUAGAUAAUAAAUUAAACCCUUGUUUUCAUUCCAGAAAAAUAUCAUCACAAAUUUUAUAUUGUCCCAGUACACUAAUUGCAUGGAGAUUAUAAGAAUAUUCAAGGGAAGGAAACCUUCCUUUUCAAACAAGUGAUAACUUUUUCAGCCUCAGCUACGUUCCCUCCCAAAAAUAAAACUGUAAUUACAGAGUAAAGGGAGAGACCCAGAUUUACAGUUUGAGGGCUGUGGAGAUAAUAAUCCUAAUAAAUAGAGGACAGUGCCCAAUAAAAAUCAGUUAUGAUUUUGCCUUGUCCCUGACUGUAAUUUUCUCAUUCUGGUUGUGGGUGGACACAUAUUGCUUGAGCUACUCCUUCUGAGGAUCUCCAAAGUCAAUUUUUCACUCUUACAUUUCAGCAGCCUACACUUAUAGCAAACUUACAUUUAAUCUAACUGCUGUGUAUGAUCUAAGAAGCCUUAACUGCAGGACAGAAAACUGUUUAAAGUCUGUGUGAUUCAUGGAAGGUAAAAACAAUAAUUAUUUUUCAUCCAAAUGUUCUGAUCCAUUUUGCCCAAGGGAGACCAGCCAACAUAGAUUGCUUGAGACACAGCAUUUCCAGAUAAGGCAGUCUGGUACAGAAUUAGUAUGCAGGAGAUCCAAGUAUAAUUUUUAGCUCUGAUGCUGGUCUUCUACAUCAGUGUUUCCCAACCUUUUUGAGCCCAAGGUGCACUUACAUUAAGAAAAAAUUUCCAUGGCACACUUGUUCAGGCAUUCCCCAUCCCCAUACUUAUGAGCUCGUUGUAGCUCAUUGCCACGGCAAAAUUCUGUGGCACAGCUGUUCAGAGGCUCACAAACCGUGCAUCCCCCAUAGCCAACACAUGCACAGUAGAUGAUUUUCCUUCUGCUCUGCUGGUUCUCUCUCCCCCCCACAGCCAACACCUGUGCAAGUCUUCUGUAUCUCUUUUCAUUUUUCCAAAAGUCUUGCGACACACCAGGGAGCUCUUCACGGCACACUGGUGUGCUGCGGCACACUGGUUGAAAAGCACUGUUCUAUAUGACCCAGGCCAAGUCACUUUAUUUCCCUGCACCUUUGUUUCUAUUUUCAUUGUUCCCUGUAUUUAGACUGUAAGCUUUUCAGGGUAGAGACUUUUAUGGUGUUUGUACAAUGUCUAGCACAGUGAUUGUCAUGCUAUUUAGACUCAAGGCACCUCUUGGCUCUUAGAUUUCACUCGAUUUUUGACUACAGAAAAAUAAUGGAGUAAUUCUUUUGUUGCAAACAACUCAGAAAAACCAGAACAGAGGUUUUUUUGAGUUGUGUGCAACAAGGCAAAACAAUUUUUGUUUGCAACAGGGCAGAACAGUUUUAAGAUUAUGGAUUCCUAUUUGAAAUUUCUGGGUUUAUCUUGCAAACCAUAUUUACACACCUAACAGUGCUAAUGUUAUGUGGCACCCUGAGACACCCCUGAAGGGACUACAGAGCAGCACCCUGGUUGAGAAUUAUUUAUCUAGCACAACAGGGACCAUCUAAAAAAUGGCAUUUUUUACAAAAUUUUCUCAUCCUUUUGGAUCUCUUUUACCUGGAAAAUUCUCUGUUGAUUUCCCAGACAGGAGAAAGCCAGCUGGCUGCUUGGUAAUUUGAAAUAGCAUCUUUUACCUUUUUUAGGGAGGUGGUAUUUUUCUGUAGUGUAUGCAAGGAGCCUGCAUUCUUCUAGACUCUGAUCUCCCGUAUAACCCGAUAUGCCAAGAAGCUUCCUACUAGUUCAGCUGUAAAAUUCCCAGCUAUAAAACUGAGACACCUUUGUCAUGUAUUUCAAGAUCUUUUGAUGAAUGGUGCAAUAAGUGUAGUUAUUAACAGCAGAAAUAAGCGCAAAGCACAAAAUCCAGAUCCAUAUAUGUGGGAAGUAGGGAUGGGACUUAAUUUUUUUAACUGGGAUUGAAGCAUCCAUUCAGCUUCUUUUCUCUUUUUUAAUUAUUGCUCAUGGUGUCACAGGAACUCUAUGGCUAAGUAUGGACAGUCAAAAAGCCUGAGGCUGAGUCAAUUCAAUUUUUGCAGGUUAGUCUAAACUGUGUAGAUUGAACUAAUAAGCAAGUGAAUAGACAUUCACUUUUGAUUCUGAAAAUGCAGCCACAUGU